UACAUGAGUAGUGAACGUUAAUCAUAGUGGUUGGGUGUAAAAGAUACUUCGACUGCGCACAUUAAACUUUUAUAACAUACGGAAUAAAUGGAAAAUUGCGUUGAAAACCGUAAAGUUAGUUUCAUUUUUAGUCUUUAAAGAUAAAAUUUAACGAAAGGCUAACUAAUGUCCAAUGGAUGAAGAUACAAUAACUUACGGUUUUGACGUUUAGGUAUGACAGUAUAGUAAGCAAAGAGGAUUAGAGACCCUUGUAGUCUAUACCGUAAAAUAUAAGUGCUGGUGGAUAAUACAUACUGCUAAACUAACGUGCAAGCGCUUUACCUGGGUAGUAAAACCGCAAGGUUUAAACUUAAAAAAAUUGGCGGGACUUAAUUUAAUGGUGGAGCAUGUGAUUUAAUGCGGUAAUCCUCGCAAAAUCUUACUAAUAUUCGCGUAUACACUUAAUUUUACUUAAGUUAAGAUUAUAAUGUUGCGUUAGGCACUGCAUGGCUGUCGUCAGUUCGAGUUUUAAGGAGUAAAAUUUAGUUUUUAUAUCGAACGCAACCCCUGAGACAGCUUCGUACACGUUAGCUGUUUAGCGCCGCAUCCGCUAUGUAAUAACUACGGUUAUGAUCACUGCGAUGAGGUGCGCUAUAGGGAUGAGGUCAAGUCUUUAUGAUCUACAAAUAUUAGGCUAUCCAUUUGUUACAAUGGAAAAAACAACGAGUUUUAUAUCUUCAACGAGAAAAAAACUUUAAAAAUUUCCCUAGUGCGAAGUACCUUUUUAAACUUAAAGGUAUGAAGUCGGAAUCAUUAGUAAUCGCAUAAUAGUAAGGUACGGUGAAUAACAACAUUAAGUUUGCACACACCGCCCAUCACGCUCGGAUAGUUGUCUGCACCCAAGGGUCGCUAAUUACAAAAUAUUAAUUAGAAAUGUUAGUCAAUGCGUACAUUAUAAGUUUUUAGGUACCACCAAGUGUGGGGGGUGAUUUGAGUGAAG
rnacentral:rRNA from 1 species